rnacentral:rRNA from 1 species
AGUGAACGCUGGCGGUAGGCCUAACACAUGCAAGUCGAACGGCAGCACAGUAAGAGCUUGCUCUUACGGGUGGCGAGUGGCGGACGGGUGAGGAAUACAUCGGAAUCUACUUUUUCGUGGGGGAUAACGUAGGGAAACUUACGCUAAUACCGCAUACGACCUACGGGUGAAAGCAGGGGAUCUUCGGACCUUGCGCGAUUGUGUGCGCCGAUGUGGGAUUAGCUAGUUGGCGGGGUAAAGGCACACCAAGGCGACGAUCCGUAGCUGGUCUGAGAGGAUGAUCAGCCGCACUGGAACUGAGACACGGUCCAGACUCCUACGGGAGGCAGCAGUGGGGAAUAUUGGACAAUGGGCGCAAGCCUGAUCCAGCCAUGCCGCGUGGGUGAAGAAGGCCUUCGGGUUGUAAAGCCCUUUUGUUGGGGAAGAAAAGCAGCAGGUUAAUACCCCGCUGUUCUGACGGUACCCAAAGAAUAAGCACCGGCUAACUUCGUG